rnacentral:rRNA from 1 species
UACGUAGGGCGCAAGCGUUGUCCGGAAUUAUUGGGCGUAAAGAGCUCGUAGGUGGCUUGUCGCGUCUGCCGUGAAAGCCCGUGGCUUAACUACGGGUCUGCGGUGGAUACGGGCAGGCUAGAGGCUGGUAGGGGCAAGCGGAAUUCCUGGUGUAGCGGUGAAAUGCGCAGAUAUCAGGAGGAACACCGGUGGCGAAGGCGGCUUGCUGGGCCAGUUCUGACGCUGAGGUGCGAAAGCAUGGGGAGCGAACAGG